rnacentral:rRNA from 1 species
GAUGAACGCUGGCGGCGUGCCUAAUACAUGCAAGUCGAGCGAAGCGGGGACGGGUGAGUAACACGUGGAUAACCUCCUAUAAGACUGGGAUAACUUCGGGAACCCGGAGCUAUACCGGAUACUUCCAGGUGGAUCCGGGCUGCAUUAUCUAGUUGGUACGGUAACGGCUUACCAAGGCAACGAUGCAUAGCCGACCUGAGAGUGUGAUGGGCCACACUGGAACUGAGACACGGUCCAGACUCCUACGGGAGGCAGCAGUAGGGAAUCUUCCGCAAUGGGCGAAAGCCUGACGGAGCAACGCCGCGUGAGUGAAGAAGGUCUUCGGAUCGUAAAACUCUGUUAUUAGAGAAGCGGUACCUAAUCAGAAAGCCACGGCUAACUACGUGCCAGCAGCCGCGGUAAUUC